AGACUCACACACCCUGUUUCUAAUCAACAAAGGACUGAGUGAUUAAGGCGGGAAAUAUGAGAUCUUUGUCCAUUUUGCUCAUUCUCCUAAGCGUCUCACCUGGCAUCCUUUCCAGUCCACAGCUAAUCGAGUCUGGCCCAGGAGUGGUGAAGCCAGGCGAGUCCUUCAAACUGACCUGCACUAUCUCUGGUUUCCAAGUCAGUGACUAUCACUGGGUCUGGAACCGACAGCCUCCAGGGAAAGGCCUGGAGUUUAUUGGUGCUAUUCGGAGCUCUGCAGCUGGAGGAACCACCUAUUAUAACCCAGCAUUCAGUAGUCGGAUUUCUGUCACCAGGGACACCUCCAGAAAUGAAGUAUAUCUUCAGCUGAAUUCCCCGACAGCUGCAGACACCGCUGUGUAUUUUUGUGCACGAGACACAGUGAAGUAA